UACGGGGGGGGCAAGCGUUGUUCGGAAUUACUGGGCGUAAAGGGCUCGUAGGUGGCCAACUAAGUCAGACGUGAAAUCCCUCGGCUUAACCGGGGAACUGCGUCUGAUACUGGAUGGCUUGAGUUUGGGAGAGGGAUGCGGAAUUCCAGGUGUAGCGGUGAAAUGCGUAGAUAUCUGGAGGAACACCGAUGGCGAAGGCAAUCCCCUGGACCUGUACUGACGCUCAUGCACGAAAGCGUGGGGAGCAAACAGG
rnacentral:rRNA from 1 species